GAGUUUGAUCCAAGUCCAGUUUUUGCAUUUUUCUCCAUUCUUGGCCAUGUGUACAGUAUCUCAAGGAUCCUGGACACAGAAAACGAGUCCGUGGAAUUGUUUUUGUUGCUCUGCAUCUGGAAAAUCAUGUGUGCAUUAUUAGUGUGCAUUAUUAGUGAGCUUUUUUGCAUUUGAGCCAAAUAACAAAAGAAGAGAAAUAACUCCAAAUGAUUCAUAAUUCCCUCAGUCAUCUGAAGAGAUAUUGCAGUAAUACUGGUCAUACUAAAAAGCAACAACAUUGCAGAUUGUUAAAUUACCUUCAAAAAUGACAUCACUGUGGUCUAGUUGCACCACAAAAUCACAGAAAACAGGUAAUGUUCUUACAUGCAAGGCAUUAUUUUAAAGUGUUAGCUUGCACAGAUCCUACCCCAGAUGUGAUAACUGCAAUAUCAAUUAAAGCUUUGCUUGCAUGCAUGGGCUGCCAUGGAUUCAACUGGCACAGAAAGAAUUCCACUGGAAAAAGAAUUAUCACUGGAAAAAAAAUUCUUUAGCAAUUAUCAAUAGUUUUUCACACUUCCUUGAAUUCUGAUUACUGUAUAACUGUCGACUGUGCAACCAAUGAAUGUAUAAAUUCACUCAAGUCAAAAGCAAUUUUAGGAUAAGGCAAUCAUGGUUUGGACUCUUGUGCAUUCACAUUUAUUGUUCAUUGCAUAUACAUCUCACCUCUGCUCUGAUGAUCUCCAAUUAGUGUACACAUGCUUCUUUCUUUUCUCAUUGUCCUCAGGUUUAGAGACGUCAGCCAAUGAGUUUAGUCCUUCAGUGAGAACCAAGGAAGGAAAGAGCACUUUAAAAUACCAUAUUUACUUGAGUCUAAUGUGCAAUUCAAUUUUCAAAACCCUGAUAAUAAAAAAAGUAUUUCUUGGUGAAAGUAAUGUGCAGAGGUAAAAAAUGUACUCUGUAAUUUGCCCAAAAAAAAAAAAAAAAGGUGUGCAUUACAGUUGCUGCCUGGUUAUGUCUCCUUCUUUCAAAACAAAAGUGUUAGACCAUCAAAGCUUCAAGCAAUGGAAAAAAAACAAAACCUUAGGGUGCAUCUAUGCUGUAGAAUGAAUCCACCUAAACUGCCCUGGCUCACUGUUAUGAAUUCACGUAGUUUUACAAGAUCUUGAGCUUUCUCUGUUAAAUAAUGCUGAUGGUCUCACAAAAGUACAAAUUCUAGGAUUGCAUAGCACUGAGAAGUGGCAAUUAAAUUUGAGCUGAUGUCCCUCAAAUAGGAGCUUCAAGGUUUGAACCCAGACUAAGAACAAUCCAUAGUGUCAUAUUAAUGCCAUAUUAUACCACAAUGCCAUAUUAUGCAAAUCUAAUGUGCAUCUAAGAAUCUAGGACUGACGAGGAUCUUUGCAGUUUUAGAGUGACUGCAUACAAAAUUCACAUGGGUUGUUUAACUAAGAAAGCAGAAUUUUAUGUACAGGAAACGGCUUUUUCUUCACAGAUUACUGGACUUGGAUCUUGGAGAUCUGCAUUCAAGGUUCCUUGUGGCUGGUGAUCAAGAGUUUGUGAGCAGUUUAAACGUAUGUCUCUUCUGCAUGAAAAAAAGGUUGAUUUUGUUAGUGUUGUUGCUGCUGCUAUUGUAUGAGCAUAAAAGUCAUUUGGUGGCUACUCUUCCUUAGUCUGUCACUUUAUGUGAUCUUGACCCACCUACAAAAUUGUAUUGUUACAGAAAUAUAUCAUUGUCAAUUCUGACCGGCACCACACAACUAUCAAGCAAAUGUUUAAUAAUACCUAGUUGUAGGUUUCAUACAUCUCAAACUUGUACUUUCUGAAUGUUCUGCUUAUUCUCAAAAGUUAUGAUACCUAAAACACAUUUUGAAAUGCAUAUUGUUUGAGAACACACAUUUCAAAUGGAUUUUUGAAAAACCACUGGUGUGGAAUGGGGACUGGAUAGACAUAAAAGUGAGCAUGUAUGAAAGUAUCACAGGACUGAAUGUUUGCCCAUCUGUACUGUACACAUAUUAGCCUUUGGUUAGUCCAAAGUAGAAUAGACUGAUUUAAUGGGAUUUACAUUUGUAUUUACUCUCUAUUCAACAAUUGAUUUCAUGGUUCUUCUUUAGGUGGGACUAACCAAUAGUAUCUGAGCCAUUACAGAUCAAAGGUGUUGAACAUAUUUUCUAUUUCUAAUACUUUCUGAUUUGAGCAGCCACUAAUUUUACUCACAUCACCAAAAUAUUUGAUACUGUUAACCUCAGAAUUUCCUGACUUCUGUACUUUGAACAUCAUCUUGUGGCUAAAGUUAUGCUUGAUAAAGAAUAAGUGGAAAUACCCUUUUUUAAAUGAAGAUAGGAAAUGCUUUUCAAAAUGUACAAAGCAGCCACAGAAAUUGUGCCUCAUUUCUUUUCUUACUGAAAUAAAUGGCAGCUAUUCUACUUGUUUCUUCUUUGAUGUAGCCAUUAUACCUAUAUCUUCCUGUGGGUGUUCUGAACAAAAGAGACAAAACUGGAAUAACAAAACAAAAUGUACACAUUCAAGAUAUCUUGUGAUUGAGUAUCAGGAUUUGGGAGCAGAAGCUGUGUAUCCUUUCAAGGCAAGAAAAUAAGGUUGAUUUGGUUACCAUUGUUGUUGGUUUGUGUCUUUGCUUCUUUUUGCCUGGGUAGUUCAUAAAAGGCCCUAAUAUUUGUCAUUAACUUUCAGAGAAAAUACAAAGAGAGAAAGGGGAAAGAGUGUCAUCUAGUGUCAGAAUUCAGUAUUACAAGACAAUGUCAGAGGCCUUUGUAAGACAAAAGACACCAAAAAGCUAUUCAUUCUGUGCCUUAAGGUAGAAUAUGACCUCUUCAGUUCGAGGAAAUGAGAGUCCUUUUAUAUGAUUUUUUUCUCCCUUUAAAGCAAAAAGAGGCAAAAAGUUACAUAAUACGACAGGAACGAGCAAACUGAAGUCUUCCAGACAGUGAUGGAUCCCAUUGCGCUAUCCAAUAAAGCUAUUGGCCAGGAAUAAUAGAAAUUUGUCCAUAUCUGUGGACGGUAGACCCAGUUUUAUUGAGGCAGAAAACUAUGGUGUUGCAUGGAAAUGUCUGCAAUAGGCACAACUCAUUGGGAAGUUUUCAGGCACUUAGCCUGAAUGAACACGAACAUAUUUUCCAAGUCAAGGCAAGUAAUAAUCCCCCUAUUUUCUGGUCAGACUUCAACUGGAGUACCGUGUUCAAUUGUAAGAGCCACAUUUUGAGAAGGAUAUUGACAAGCUGGAGUGUGUUCAGAAGGAUGAUAAGAAGUAUGGAGAACAAAACUUAAGAGGAGAGCUUGAAUAAACUAGGCAUGUUCUACUUGGUGAAGAGAAGAGUAAGAGGUGGCAUGAUCAUACCCUUUAAAUAUCUCAAGAAAGAGGGAGCAGGCUUGUUCUCUGUCAUCUCAGAAGGGAGAACUGGGUCGAAAGUAGAUUUUGAAGGAAUACUAGAAGUAAAUGUUUGAUAGCAAAAGCAAUUUGAUGAUGGAAUCAAUUGCUUAGACAAGUGGUGGGGUCUCCUUCCUUGGCUGUCUUCAAAAGGUAUCUGGAAAGCUUCUUCCUUGAGAUGCUCUGGCUGGAGAUCUUGCAUUGAGCAAAUGAUUGGAUUUAGUGGUUCAUGAGGACCCUUCCAAUUCUUUGAUUUUAUGAUUCUAUUACUAUGAGCUAUAUUCAAUGACACUCGUCGCUAUUUAUAAUGUACAGAGCAUCAACAGGUCAGCUUUCUAACAUUUUCUGCUUGCUGUUGUUUCUAAUCAAUGAAAGGUUGCUGAAGAAACAAUAGUUACAACAAUACACUGUAAUAGUCUGUGUUUUUGGAAGAUUGGUAAGGAGAGUAAAUGGGAUCUUUGUAGAAAAAGAAGAUAAUCCCUUUGACUCAUGGGUUGAUUCAAUAAGGGAAAAUACAGCUCUAACUUUGCAAGACCUGAACAGGGCUAGGGCUGUUCAUGAUUAGUUCUCUUUAAUGUAUCUCAUUCAGACAUGAAAGCUCAUAACUACAUAUAGUGAUUGGGUUUCUAACUCAUGGUUUUACUGCAUAUCACCUUUGUCUCACCUUCUCUCCAUUGUAUAUGGAUGGAGAAAUUAAUGGCUAGGCAUUUCAAUCCUGAGCAUCACAGCCUCUCCAAUUUUCUGGAUUCAUAGAUUUAACACUGCAUGGUCUCAGUCUAAAGGAUAAUACUAUCAUCCUCUGACUUUAGACUUUUAAGACUUAAUUACUAAGGGUUCUGGGCCAGGGUGAAUUGAUAUGUAUUUUGGUUUCUUUUAUGUAGACUUGACCCCUAUUACCAGCUACUGUUUUUUAGUUCAUAAAUUCCACUUCUGAUCAGGGAAACACUACCCUUUUAUUGAUAUACACCUUUAUUUAGUUAUUUUGUAUUCCACUUUUCUACCCUGUGGAACUCUAAGUUGGAUACCUCUGCUUUCUCCCUCCAGCAUCUCAACAUCUGAAUUUCAAGGGAUCUGGUAAACCUGGAAAUAUAUCUACAUAAGGAGCAAGGUGAUCAGGGAAUAUCAGAGCACCAGCUAGCACAAAAACCUACAUUUUGUCUCACUCAAUAAACCAAAAUGUUCCACACUGUC